rnacentral:misc_RNA from 1 species
GAUGAUGAACGUAGCGAAAUGCGAUAAGUAAUGUGAAUUGCAGAAUUCAGUGAAUCAUCGAAUCUUUGAACGCACAUUGCGCCCCCUGGUAUUCCGGGGGGCAUGCCUGUCCGAGCGUCAUUACAACCCUCAAGCUCAGCUUGGUGUUGGGCCCCGCCGCCCCGGCGGGCCCUAAAGUCAGUGGCGGUGCCGUCCGGCUCCGAGCGUAGUAAUUCUUCUCGCUCUGGAGGUCCGGUCGUGUGCUCGCCAGCAACCCCCAAUUUUUUUCAGGUUGACCUCGGAUCAGGUAGGGAUACCCGCUGAACUUAAGCAUAUCAAUAAGCGAGGA